AUGGAGGUUUCUGCUGGGGAGAUGGGCCCCGUAAUUUGUAAGCUCGCUGAGCUCCUUGUUGGAGAAUACAACCUGGAGAAGCGUGUAAAGAAAGGCGUGCAAUCACUCCUAACAGAGCUCGAGAUGAUGCACGCCGUACUUCGCAAGGUUGGCGAGGUGCCAUCCGAACAGCUCGAGGAGCCGGUCCGGAUUUGGGCUGGCAAGGUGAGAGACCUCUCUUGUGACAUGGAAGAUGCUGUUGACGAUUUCCUCGUGCGUGUGGAUGAGGGUUCAAGCAUCCAGCCAAUGAACAUGAGAAAUCGAGUCAAGAAGUUCCUCAAGAAGACCACCAAACUGUUUAGUAAGGGCAAAGCACUUCAUCAAAUCUGUGAUGCCAUUGAAGAAGCUCAGGAUCUUGCCAAGGAGUUGGCCGAGCUGCGUAAAAGAUGUAGGGGUGACGGCACAAGGGACGACCUUAUUAAAACACUAAUUUGUGAGGACGGGAGUUGCAAGGAACAAUUGAAGAUAAUAUCUAUUGUUGGUGUUGGUGGGCUGGACAAGACAACCCUCACCAAAGCAUUUUUUGAGAAGAUCAAAGCCCAAUUUGAUCGUGCAGCUUUUGUCCCAGUGGGUCAGAACCCAGAUAUCAGGAAAAUUUUCAAAGACCUACUCUAUGGCCUCGACAAAGAGAAGUUCAAAGACAUUCAUAAAACAACAAGAGAUGAGAAACUACUAAUGGAGGAAAUCAGUGAAUUCCUUCUGGAUAAGAGGUACCUUAUCAUAAUUGAUGAUAUAUGGGAAGAGGAAAUAUGGAGAUAUAUAAAUUGUGCUUUGUAUAAAAACAAACUCCACAGUCGGAUAAUCAUAACAACCCGCAAUGUGAGUGUGUCUGAAGCAUGUCUCUCUUUCGGUGAUGGUAUGAUUCAGAGAAUGAAACCUCUUUCUGAUGAAGACUCGCAAAUACUCUUCCAUAGAAGAAUAUUUCAAAGCAAACAGAAAUGUCCGGAAGAUCUGCAGGUGGUGUCAAGAGAUAUCUUGAAGAAAUAUGCUGGUGUACCAUUAGCCAUCGUUACAAUAGCUAGCCUUCUGGUUAGUAGUCAACGGGUAAAGCCAAAACAUGAGUGGAUGCAUGUGUAUAAUUCGAUGGGCUGUGGAGUUACACAAAAUGGUAUUGCGAAGGACAUGAAGAGGAUAUUAUCACUCAGCUAUUAUGAUUUGCCUCCUCAUCUGAAGACUUGUUUAUUAUACCUAAGCAUCUUUCCUGAAGACUUUGAGGUUGAGAGAGAUUGGUUGAUAUGGAGGUGGCUUGCCGAAGGUUUUAUCCAGUGCAACCAAAAAGAAAGCAGCCUAUUUGAGAUUGGGAAGAGCUACUUCAACGAACUCAUGAAUAGAAGCUUGCUCCAGCCAGCGUAUAUAGAAGCUUUCAAUUUUUGCGUGUGCUGGAUCUUGGAAAUUCUAGCUUCCGGAAGAGGAGCUUUGGCAUCAGCCUCAAGUAUGUUGGGAAUUUAA
rnacentral:rRNA from 1 species